AUGAAGAGAAAGAGUGUGAGAGGGUCCUCACCCCUCACACUCUCAUACUUUCAACAGUUUGCUUGUGCUUAGCUUUGCCUUCUCUAAUCAACAAGGGAUGUGUUCAAGCAUUCUCUGUGAGUGGCAGAAGCAUAUAUGCAUUCUCCAAAAGGAGCAGAGGCUUUGGCUACAGCAUGGCAAACCGGCAAGUCACAAAAAGGCACUGGAUUCCAAUGGGGUCC
rnacentral:sRNA from 1 species